rnacentral:rRNA from 1 species
GUGGGGAAUCUUGCGCAAUGGGCGAAAGCCUGACGCAGCCAUGCCGCGUGGAUGAUGAAGGUCUUAGGAUUGUAAAAUCCUUUCACCGGUGAAGAUAAUGACUGUAGCCGGAGAAGAAGCCCCGGCUAACUUCGUGCCAGCAGCCGCGGUAAUACGAAGGGGGCUAGCGUUGCUCGGAUUUACUGGGCGUAAAGGGCGCGUAGGCGGACAUUUAAGUCAGGGGUGAAAUCCCGGGGCUCAACCUCGGAACUGCCUUUGAUACUGGGUGUCUUGAGUAUGAGAGAGGUGUGUGGAACUCCGAGUGUAGAGGUGAAAUUCGUAGAUAUUCGGAAGAACACCAGUGGCGAAGGCGACACACUGGCUCAUUACUGACGCUAAGGCACGAAAGCGUGGGGAGCGAACCGGAUUAGAAACCCCGGUAGUCC